GAUCCUGGCUCAGGAUGAACGCUGGCGGCGUGCCUAACACAUGCAAGUCGAACGGAGCACCCCGGAACGAGACUUCGGUCAAGGGAAGGGAAUGCUUAGUGGCGGACGGGUGAGUAACGCGUGAGGAACCUGCCUUCCAGUGGGGGAUAACACAUCGAAAGGUGUGCUAAUACCGCAUAAUGUAUGUUUACCGCAUGGUAGAGAUACCAAAGAUUUAUUGCUGGAAGAUGGCCUCGCGUCCAA
rnacentral:rRNA from 1 species